rnacentral:rRNA from 1 species
AUUGAACGCUGGCGGCAGGCUUAACACAUGCAAGUCGAGCGGGGGAAGGUAGCUUGCUACCGGACCUAGCGGCGGACGGGUGAGUAAUGCUUAGGAAUCUGCCUAUUAGUGGGGGACAACAUCUCGAAAGGGAUGCUAAUACCGCAUAAGUCCUACGGGAGAAAGCAGGGGAUCUUCGGACCUUGCGCUAAUAGAUGAGCCUAAGUCGGAUUAGCUAGUUGGUGGGGUAAAGGCCUACCAAGGCGACGAUCUGUAGCGGGUCUGAGAGGAUGAUCCGCCACACUGGGACUGAGACACGGCCCAGACUCCUACGGGAGGCAGCAGUGGGGAAUAUUGGACAAUGGGGGGAACCCUGAUCCAGCCAUGCCGCGUGUGUGAAGAAGGCCUUAUGGUUGUAAAGCACUUUAAGCGAGGAGGAGGCUACUUUAGUUAAUACCUAGAGAUAGUGGACGUUACUCGCAGAAUAAGCACCGGCUAACUCCGUGCCAGCAGCCGCCGUAA